rnacentral:rRNA from 1 species
GCAGGAGAGGAAAGCGGAAUUCCUAGUGUAGCGGUGAAAUGCGUAGAGAUUAGGAAGAACACCAGUGGCGAAGGCGGCUUUCUGGACUGUAACUGACGCUGAGGCACGAAAGCGUGGGUAGCAAACAGGAUUAGAUACCCUGGUAGUCCACGCCGUAAACGAUGGAUACUAGGUGUAGGGGGUAUCAACUCCCUCUGUGCCGCAGUUAACACAAUAAGUAUCCCGCCUGGGGAGUACGGUCGCAAGAUUAAAACUCAAAGGAAUUGACGGGGGCCCGCACAAGCAGCGGAGCAUGUGGUUUAAUUCGAAGCAACGCGAAGAAUCUUACCUGGACUUGACAUCCCUUGCAUAGCCUAGAGAUAGGUGAAGCCCUUCGGGGCAAGGAGACAGGUGGUGCAUGGUUGUCGUCAGCUCGUGUCGUGAGAUGUUAGGUUAAGUCCUGCAACGAGCGCAACCCUUGUUAUUAGUUGCUACCAUUAAGUUGAGCACUCUAAUGAGACUGCCUGGGUAACCAGGAGGAAGGUGGGGAUGACGUCAAAUCAUCAUGCCCCUUAUGUCCAGGGCUACACACGUGCUACAAUGGUAGGUACAAUGAGAGGCAAGACCGUGAGGUGGAGCAAAACUUAUAAAGCCUAUCUCAGUUCGGAUUGUAGGCUGCAACUCGCCUACAUGAAGCUGGAGUUGCUAGUAAUCGCGAAUCAGAAUGUCGCGGUGAAUACGUUCCCGGGCCUUGUACACACCGCCCGUCACACCAUGAGAGCUGGUAACACCCGAAGUCCGUGAGGCAACCGUAAGGAGCCAGCGGCCGAAGGUGGGAUUAGUGAUUGGGGUGAAGUCGUAACAAGGUAGCCGUAGGAGAACCUGCGGCUGGAUCACCUCCUU